GGUUAAGCGACUAAGCGUACACGGUGGAUGCCCUGGCAGUCAGAGGCGAUGAAGGACGUGCUAAUCUGCGAUAAGCGUCGGUGAGGUGAUAUGAACCGUUAUAACCGGCGAUUUCCGAAUGGGGAAACCCAGUGUGUUUCGACACACUAUCAUUAACUGAAUCCAUAGGUUAAUGAGGCGAACCGGGGGAACUGAAACAUCUAAGUACCCCGAGGAAAAGAAAUCAACCGAGAUUCCCCCAGUAGCGGCGAGCGAACGGGGAGGAGCCCAGAGCCUGAAUCAGUGUGUGUGUUAGUGGAAGCGUCUGGAAAGGCGCGCGAUACAGGGUGACAGCCCCGUACACAAAAAUGCACAUAUUGUGAGCUCGAUGAGUAGGGCGGGACACGUGGUAUCCUGUCUGAAUAUGGGGGGACCAUCCUCCAAGGCUAAAUACUCCUGACUGACCGAUAGUGAACCAGUACCGUGAGGGAAAGGCGAAAAGAACCCCGGCGAGGGGAGUGAAAAAGAACCUGAAACCGUGUACGUACAAGCAGUGGGAGCCUCUUAAUGGGGUGACUGCGUACCUUUUGUAUAAUGGGUCAGCGACUUAUAUUCUGUAGCAAGGUUAACCGAAUAGGGGA
rnacentral:rRNA from 1 species